rnacentral:rRNA from 1 species
GUCAUAUAUCAUAACAAAACAAAACUUUCAACAACGGAUCUCUUGGCUCUCGCAUCGAUGAAGAACGCAGCGAAAUGCGAUAAGUAAUGUGAAUUGCAGAAUUCAGUGAAUCAUCGAAUCUUUGAACGCACCUUGCGCCCUCUGGUAUUCCGGAGGGCAUGCCUGUUUGAGUGUCAUGUAGACUCAAUCCCUCGGGUUUCCGAGGAGAUUGGACUUGGGUGUUGCCGCUCUGCCGGCUCGCCUUAAAAGACUUAGCGGGAUAGCACCGUAGUCGGCGUAAUAAGUUUCGUCGGUGAAGGUUGUGAUGACUGCUUACAAUCGCCCUCGGGCUAUUUUUGACUCUGACCUCAAAUCAGGUAGGACUACCCGCUGAACUUAAGCAUAUCAAUAAGCGGAGGAAAAGAAACUAACAAGGAUUCCCUUAGUAGCGGCGAGCGAAGCGGGAUGAGCUCAAAUUUGAAAGCUGGCGUCCUACGGGCGUCCGCAUUGUAAUCUAUAGAGGCGUUUUCUGUGCUGGACCGUGUACAAGU